rnacentral:miRNA from 1 species
GAAGCUGGAUGGAGAGGAUCC